UCCACCAAACCUUGCCGUACGUGGGACACUGGCGUCGAAUCUCCAUGAUCAUGGCUACAAAUGGAAGCUUCUGAGGCCCACACGACCACCACCAGCGGUGCUUGCCGGCCUGACCUUCUCCUUUCCCAACGUCUCCCUGUUUUCUCCUUCUCUCAAGUCCAGCUGUGGCCAAGCUUCUGGUUGCCCCUUCUCUGGCAGUGCUUCUCAGCGGCAUCACCAACGUUGGUGGCCGUCGGUCUUGAGGGAGGUCAUCAGAUUGUGAAAUGCACCAGGAUGCUCCCCCAAUAGGUUGAUUCUUUUCAUUUCAUAGCUAACAAGAGAGGGAUCUAGGCUCUAGCUAAGGUGAUGAACAGAGUUAACGGUUGAUUCGUUUCACUUCCUACACCAAGAAGACUGUCAAGUUCUUGUUUUUUCAAUUUCAAUUGGCCAAUUCCAUUUCCAAUCUUGACCAUGGGGAAUCCAAGAAUCAACUAAUGGCUUUGUCAACAAUAAUGUAUCUUGUAUUUAUCAACAUGUAUCUUCUGCAAACGGGGAAAAAAAAUAGAAUGAAAUGGACUUGUUCUGGCCAGGGUGUUGUGUUUUUUUGCCUUCUGUUGUUGCUACGGAAUUGAAUAGCUGAACAAGUUUUUGCAUCUUCAUAUUAUAUAGCUGAUUUUGUGCUGCUAAGCUGAUUUUGUGUUGACAAAUAUAUGUAAUGUAUACAAUUUUAUUUGUGUUA